AACGAACGCUGGCGGCAGGCCUAACACAUGCAAGUCGAACGCCGUAGCAAUACGGAGUGGCAGACGGGUGAGUAACACGUGGGAACAUACCCUUCGGUUCGGAAUAACUCAGGGAAACGUUGAGCUAAUACCGGAUACGUCCGCGAGGAGAAGAUUCAUCGCCGGAGGAUUGGCCCGCGUCUGAUUAGCUUGUUGGUGAGGUAACGGCUCACCAAGGCGACGAUCAGUAGCGGUC
rnacentral:rRNA from 1 species